AUUCACUGUGAAAGCACACUAUCAGUGAAUUACCAUAGGGCCAUAA
rnacentral:miRNA from 13 species